UGACAGCCACGGCUGUGCUUCCUGGGUCU
rnacentral:piRNA from 1 species